UACGUAGGGGGGCUAGCGUUGUCCGGAUUUAUUGGGCGUAAAGAGCGUGUAGGCGGCCAGGUAGGUCUGCUGUGAAAACUCGAGGCUCAACCUCGAGACGUCGGCGGAAACCAUCUGGCUAGAGUCCGGAAGAGGCAAGUGGAAUUCCUGGUGUAGCGGUGGAAUGCGCAGAUAUCAGGAGGAACACCCAUAGCGAAGGCAGCUUGCUGGGACGUUACUGACGCUAAGGCGCGAAAGCGUGGGGAGCGAACAGG
rnacentral:rRNA from 1 species